rnacentral:lncRNA from 1 species
CUUCGGUAUGGUUUGGGGAAAAAAUGGAAAUAAUAUAAGGAUUCGGAAUUGGGUGGCUCUUGGUGAAAGCUAUUGAUUGCUUGAAGAGAGAAAAAUGACACAGGACGGAUAACCACCAACUUAAUGCAAAAUGUGUGUGUCAGAGGCCCUCCUUGUUGGCAUUUAUGGAGACUCUUGUCUCCUGCAAACAGAAUCACAGAGCUAAAGGUCAGGUGUAAGACUUAGUUGAGAAUGACACUUCAAUAAAGCCUGGUGGUAAUGUUUAUUGAGCAUUUACCAUGUUCUAAACAUCAUGCUAAGCACUUUAUGUAGAUCAUCUCACUUAAUCCUCACUGCAUUAUGAGCUGGUUUCAAGUAUUAGCACCCUCAUCUUACAGUUGGGAAAAACUGAGGUUCAGAUUAGUUCAUUCAUUUGCUCAAAGUCACAUAGCCCAUAUGUGGCAGAACCAGCAUCUGAACUCAGAUCACUGCCUCCAAAAGCUGAGCUCUUAAAACUAUGUCUUAUAUUAUUAAACAUCAAACAUUAUAAAGCGGUGAAACUCUGUUCUUGUCAUCUGUGUGAAAAACAGUUUUGAUCCAAGAUGUGAUAAAAUCAUUCAAUUAGAGAAUCUUUGAAUUGUAAUGGGUCCUGUGGGAUUAUCAAACCCAACCUCCCACUCAAUGGAGGAAUCCCCUUUCAGUCUAUAGGCCGGUGCAUGUAACAAGUGCUUAAUUGUGUUGAACUGGAGAAGACAUUCUGGCAGCUGAUUAUCCAGUUUCUGCAUGAACCUCUCCCAGUGAUGAGGAGUUCAUUGCCUCCCAACGCAGCCUCUUCCAUGUUAAAAAGCUCUGCUUGCCAGAAUCUUCUUUCUCUGCUGAAAACGACAUUGAUCUGUAGUUUUCCAUCUUUCUCUCAUUGCUCCUCGUUGCAGGAAAAAAGUUGACAGUUUUACGAUUUGAACAUUUGACUGAAAAGUUUUUUGCUGCCAUUCAGUCACCACAUCCAUCGUUGCCUGCCCUUCCCAACCUCCAAAAGGAAAGGGAAACAAAACAUUACGGUUGUAUUUUGUUUCCUCAAGUUUGGUUAAGUUAGAGCAAGAUUUGUUCGCUCAAGACGCUUCUUCCUUAUCCUUUUUAACAUUAAAAUGUUGGAAAGGAAUAAAAGCAAAAAAGGAACAGAACAGUAGAGUCUACUUUCCAAUUACAUCAAUAAAUGGGUGCACGGAGCAUGUUGAAUUCGAUAGAAAUGUUUGCUACGCUACUGGGGCAGGGAGGAAGCCUGUGGUUAAAUCUAUCAAAAGUUUUUGUUGUUUUUACAAAAGUACCGGAGCCAUCUGUGUGCGACCCAGCCAUUAGCUUGGGGUCCUCUCCCUGCAGAAGGAACAAUUAGAAACACCAUGUGCUGGUUCUCAAAACUUGUGCCCUGCACCUCCACCCAGAAGGCUAGAUUUUCCAUUAGUCCCUUAUUUCUAUCUUAUUGGUAAGGAGCUGCUUCUAAACCUUUCUCUUUUCUCCUGACUGAAGGAGGAGGUUAAAUACCCCUUAGAUUUAGGAAGGCCCAGGGAACCACCGAGACGGCGAGACCUCCUGGAUUCCUAGAGAACACUGAGGGGGGGGGAGGGGCUGUGACGCACUUCCGGUAGGUUUUCCCGGACUUGUGUUUGUCUUGAACGUCUGAUUUUCGGCUCGUUGUCUCUCUGCCCGGGCGACCCAGGCCUUCUGAGUUCCCGUCUGCGGGUGGCGGUGGGGACACGAGAUACAUGGUCACUGUCCCUAGCAUCUGGCCCCGAAUCAUAGGAAAACCUUACCAGAAAGUGCAGCUCCGGUGGUUUGGAUCCAGGAAGAAAGAACAACCUAGAGAUGUUCCAGAAAAAAAGAAGCUACAAAAAUUAGGGUGGUCGCAGAUUUGAACCUGUCAAAUCACUGAUAGCAGAACUAAGAGAAGCUCGUUAAAAUCAGCAUGAGAUAAGCAUCCAACAUGCCUAGCCAGAGGCAGAAAAUAGAGCCAAAACUGGACAGGUGGACUCUCAGAGUUCACCCUAACAUCAGAGUUAUCGCUGAGAUAACCCUACUAAUUUCAAAGGUCGUGAACCUUCAUAUCAAGGCAAUCUUGUCUUGAUCUCGACAUCUCUGACCCUUGCUCAGUAUUGUUUUCAUUGGCUGCAAUAUAAAGAUGGACAAAAAUCUUCAGUUUCAGCAUCUCUAGGCCAGGGCCCAAGCGCCUCACCGCCACUUUCGCGGGAGUCCAGCACUCUUGACUUCACGCAGGCCCGCAUGCGGGGCAGGCGAGGUAGGUUCGGCUGCGAUUCCGGCUCCCUCUCCUCUCCUGCAGCCGACGGGCAGCGCUCCCUGGCUCGCGGCGCCAGAGGGAGGAUGGGGCUGGGGGAGGAGGGAGGCGGACAGCGGGCAAUGGGAGUGGGAGGAGGGGGUCCACAGGUUUACUAGACGCACUGCCCGCAUUUGCUUUGUUCACACUUGACUUGGAAUUGGGUCGUAACAUAAAACUCGCAGACCGACCGCUCCAGCGAGGUCCUCGGGGUGGGCGUGGGGGGACCUGCUCUCUUCCUCGGAAUCACUCACUUUCUGGGCUCUCGCUUGUCUGCGAUCGCGACAGUGGCCGACCCAGGGGACAACAAUUCUCGCAGUUAGAGAAACGCAGGCUGGUCCUCGCGGGUCACUCGCUGGACCGGCUGACGGCGUCUGGGGACCGGGAGGAGAAGCGCCUGGGCCCCUGUGCGCCCACUCGCGCCCUAGGCGCGCCCUGCACGAGGUCUUUCUGGCCUACCUCACACCGGCGCCCGGGGUGCAAGGGUUAAGGAGCGUGAGC